GAUGAAGAACGCAGCGAAAUGCGAUACGUAGUGUGAAUUGCAGAAUUCAGUGAAUCAUCGAAUCUUUGAACGCACAUUGCGCCCUUUGGUAUUCCAAAGGGCAUGCCUGUUCGAGCGUCAUUUGUACCCUCAAGCUUUGCUUGGUGUUGGGCGUCUUGUCUCCAGUCCGCUGGAGACUCGCCUUAAAGUCAUUGGCAGCCGGCCUACUGGUUUCGGAGCGCAGCACAAGUCGCACUCUUUUCCAGCCAAGGUCAGUGUCCAACAAGCCUUUUUUCAACUUUUGACCUCGGAUCAGGUAGGGAUACCCGCUGAACUUAAGCAUAUCAAUAACGGAGGA
rnacentral:misc_RNA from 1 species